AUGCUUCAGCAGCACGAAUACUCAAAUUACAAUGCAGCGAUUAACAUGGCAUUUGCACAAGGAUAACAUGAAAAUUUUAGAAGUAUACCAUAUGUUU
ensembl:snRNA U6 U6 spliceosomal RNA